rnacentral:rRNA from 1 species
AUACGUAGGGGGCAAGCGUUAUCCGGAAUUACUGGGCGUAAAGGGUGCGUAGGCGGUUUAUCAAGUCAGGGGUGAAAGGCUACGGCUCAACCGUAGUGAGCCUCUGAAACUGGUGAACUUGAGUGUAGGAGAGGAAGGUGGAAUUCCCAGUGUAGCGGUGAAAUGCGUAGAUAUUGGGAGGAACACCAGUGGCGAAGGCGACUUUCUGGACUACAACUGACGCUGAGGCACGAAAGCGUGGGGAGCAAACAGGAUUAGAUACCCUGGUAGUCCACGCUGUAAACGAUGAGUACUAGGUGUCGGCUGUCAAAGGUCGGUGCCGGCGUUAACACAUUAAGUACUCCGCCUGGGGAGUACGCUCGCAAGAGUGAAACUCAAAUGAAUUGACGGGG